rnacentral:sRNA from 1 species
GCUGGGUAUGAUGGUGCACACCUGUAAUCCCAACUACUCAGGAGGCUGAGACAGGAAAGUUGCAAAUUUGAGGCCAGUCUGGGCAACUUAGUGAGGCCCUGUCUCAA